rnacentral:rRNA from 1 species
UUAAGCGAAUAAGCGUACACGGUGGAUGCCUAGGCAAUCAGAGGCGAUGAAGGACGUGCUAAUCUGCGAAAAGCGUCGGUAAGGUGAUAUGAACCGUUAUACCCGACGAUAUCCGAAUGGGGAAACCCAGUAUCCAAUGGAUACUAUCAUUAGCUGAAUCCAUAGGUUAAUGAGGCGAACCGGGAGAACUGAAACAUCUCAGUACCCCGAGGAAAAGAAAUCAACCGAGAUUCCCCUAGUAGCGGCGAGCGAACGGGGAGCAGCCCAGAGUCUUAAUCAAUAACAGUGUCAGGAGAACGGUCUGGAAAGUCCGGCAGUAAAGGGUGAUAGCCCCGUAUCUGAAGAUGCUGUUAUUGUGAACUCGACGAGUAGGGCGGGACACGUGUUAUCCUGUCUGAAUAUGGGGGGACCAUCCUCCAAGGCUAAAUACUCCUGAUUGACCGAUAGUGAACCAGUACCGUGAGGGAAAGGCGAAAAGAACCCCGGCGAGGGGAGUGAAAAAGAACCUGAAACCGUGUACGUACAAGCAGUAGGAGCCUCUUUAUGGGGUGACUGCGUACCUUUUGUAUAAUGGGUCAGCGACUUAUAUUCUGUAGCGAGGUUAACCGUAUAGGGGAGCCGUAGGGAAACCGAGUCUUAACUGGGCGAAUGAGUUGCAGGGUAUAGACCCGAAACCCGGUGAUCUAUCCAUGGGCAGGUUGAAGGUUGGGUAACACUAACUGGAGGACCGAACCGACUAAUGUUGAAAAAUUAGCGGAUGACUUGUGGAUGGGGGUGAAAGGCCAAUCAAACCGGGAGAUAGCUGGUUCUCCCCGAAAGCUAUUUAGGUAGCGCCUCGUGAAUUCAUCUUCGGGGGUAGAGCACUGUUUCGACUAGGGGGUCAUCCCGACUUACCAACUCGAUGCAAACUGCGAAUACCGAAGAAUGUUAUCACGGGAGACACACGGCGGGUGCUAACGUCCGUCGUGAAGAGGGAAACAACCCAGACCGCCAGCUAAGGUCCCAAAGUCAUGGUUAAGUGGGAAACGAAGUGGGAAGGCUCAGACAGCCAGGAUGUUGGCUUAGAAGCAGCCAUCAUUUAAAGAAAGCGUAAUAGCUCACUGGUCGAGUCGGCCCGCGCGGAAGAUGUAACGGGGCUAAACCAUGCACCGAAGCUGCGGCAGCGACACAAAGUGUUGUUGGGUAGGGGAGCGUUCUGUAAGCCUGCGAAGGUGUACUGUGAGGUAUGCUGGAGGUAUCAGAAGUGCGAAUGCUGACAUAAGUAACGAUAAUGCGGGUGAAAAACCCGCACGCCGGAAGACCAAGGGUUCCUGUCCAACGUUAAUCGGGGCAGGGUGAGUCGACCCCUAAGGCGAGGCUGAAAAGCGUAGUCGAUGGGAAACGGGUUAAUAUUCCCGUACUGGUGGUAACUGCGAUGGGGGAACGGAGAAGGCUAGGUUGUCCGGGCGACGGUCGUCCCGGUUCAAGCAGGUAGGCAGAGUGAUUAGGCAAAUCCGGUCACUUAAUGCUGAGAUGUGAUGACGAACCACCAAGGUGGUGAAGCAAUUGAUGCCCCGCUUCCAGGAAAAGCCUCUAAGCUUCAGGUUACCAACAAUCGUACCCCAAACCGACACAGGUGGUCAGGUAGAGAAUACUCAGGCGCUUGAGAGAACUCGGGUGAAGGAACUAGGCAAAAUGGUGCCGUAACUUCGGGAGAAGGCACGCUGGCGGUAGGUAAAGUCCCUCGCGGACGGCGCUGAAGCCAGUCGAAGAUACCAGCUGGCUGCAACUGUUUAUUAAAAACACAGCACUGUGCAAACACGAAAGUGGACGUAUACGGUGUGACGCCUGCCCGGUGCUGGAAGGUUAAUUGAUGGGGUUAGCGUAAGCGAAGCUCCUGAUCGAAGCCCCAGUAAACGGCGGCCGUAACUAUAACGGUCCUAAGGUAGCGAAAUUCCUUGUCGGGUAAGUUCCGACCUGCACGAAUGGCGUAAUGAUGGCCAGGCUGUCUCCACCCGAGACUCAGUGAAAUUGAACUCGCUGUGAAGAUGCAGUGUACCCGCGGCAAGACGGAAAGACCCCGUGAACCUUUACUAUAGCUUGACACUGAACAUUGAGCCUUGAUGUGUAGGAUAGGUGGGAGGCUUUGAAGUGUGGACGCCAGUCUGCAUGGAGCCAACCUUGAAAUACCACCCUUUAACGUUUGAUGUUCUAACCUAGGCCCAUAAACUGGGUCGGGGACCGUGUCUGGUGGGUAGUUUGACUGGGGCGGUCUCCUCCUAAAGAGUAACGGAGGAGCACGAAGGUUGGCUAAGCAUGGUCGGACAUCAUGCGGUUAGUGCAAAGGCAUAAGCCAGCUUGACUGCGAGAGUGACGGCUCGAGCAGGUACGAAAGUAGGUCUUAGUGAUCCGGUGGUUCUGAAUGGAAGGGCCAUCGCUCAACGGAUAAAAGGUACUCCGGGGAUAACAGGCUGAUACCGCCCAAGAGUUCAUAUCGACGGCGGUGUUUGGCACCUCGAUGUCGGCUCAUCACAUCCUGGGGCUGAAGUAGGUCCCAAGGGUAUGGCUGUUCGCCAUUUAAAGUGGUACGCGAGCUGGGUUUAGAACGUCGUGAGACAGUUCGGUCCCUAUCUGCCGUGGGCGUUGGAAGAUUGAGAGGGGUUGCUCCUAGUACGAGAGGACCGGAGUGAACGCACCACUGGUGUUCGGGUUGUCAUGCCAAUGGCAUUGCCCGGUAGCUAAGUGCGGAAGAGAUAACCGCUGAAAGCAUCUAAGCGGGAAACUUGCCUCGAGAUGAGUCUUCCCUGUCGCUUUAAGCGACCUAAAGGAACGUUUAAGACUAAGACGUUGAUAGGCUGGGUGUGUAAGCGUAGCGAUACGUUGAGCUAACCAGUACUAAUGAACCGUGAGGCUUAACCUG